rnacentral:rRNA from 1 species
AAGUCCCGCAAGGGAUCAGUAGAGUGGCAAACGGGUGAGUAACACGUGGGUGACCUGCCUUCGAGUGGGGGAUAACGUCCCGAAAGGGACGCUAAUACCGCAUGACAUCCUGCCUUUGAAGAGGUGGAGCUUAAAGCUGGGGAUCGCAAGACCUAGCGCUUGAAGAGGGGCCCGCGCCUGAUUAGCUAGUUGGUGAGGUAACGGCUCACCAAGGCAACGAUCAGUAUCCGGCCUGAGAGGGCGGACGGACACACUGGGACUGAGACACGGCCCAGACUCCUACGGGAGGCAGCAGUGGGGAAUUGUUCGCAAUGGGCGCAAGCCUGACGACGCAACGCCGCGUGGAGGAUGAAGAUCUUCGGG